rnacentral:rRNA from 1 species
AUGUACGCGUUGAAGACGGGGUCGAUGGCGAGUGUACGGGCCAUCCUUGCUCGAUUCAGUGCUCGGGGUAGACGAAGUAGACCGCCACGGUUCUCCUGGACCUCUUGGCGCGACGAGGGGAGGCCGGUGGCCGCGACAUCGAUGACGACAUGGGGACGGCGGCGCUCGGGCGCGCUUCAGAUCAAGAUAAAGAGAUGGAGGAAGAAAGAGGGGAUUAGGGUUCGGUCAAGGGGGCGUGCGGCGGCGUUUUGUAGGGCACCGGGGAGGUCGGCGAUGGCCGGCACGUGGCCCUGGCCGUGGGAUGGCCGCCACGGCAACCCCCUGCCUCCACUGUAG